GGGCAGGGCAGGUGCCUGGCAGCGGCGCCUGGCAGGGUGGGCGCUCACUACCUUGCAGAAUAUAAGAACCACUAGCUGCGGAAACCAUUCCGGGCCCGCAGCCGGGUGCCCGCCCCAAAGUCCCCACCCCUGCCGCGGGCAGGGCACGCCGGAGCCCCGCAGCAGUCUCCGGGGCUCCCCUCGAGGGUAGGGAGCCACUGGCCCCCAGACUGCACCGGCCGCGCCUCCUCCGCCGCACGUGUGGGGCCCAUGCCGUCGUCACCCGUCCGUCACCUCCGCGGCCGUCGCUUCCCGCCGUCAGCAGCUCCUUGGACACUGGGACUCCUGAGGAAUCCCGGGUGGGCGACGAACAACUCGGGCUAGCCUGGAGCUUGCCAUGAACCUCCAUGCUUCCCUCAAGCCUGCACUCUCAGGCCCGGAUGCAGGAAAAAGGCUCGGGCGUGCUGGUUGCUUCCACCUCGUGGUCAUUGUGAACGAUGCUUCAAUGAACAUGGUUGUACAAACAUCUCUUAGAGACCCUGCUUUUCAAUGCUUUGGGAUACAUACCCAGACAUGGGAUUACUGGAUAAUAGGGUAAUUCUACUUUUUAGCUUUUUGUGAAGCCGCCGUAUAGUUUUUCAUAGUGGCUGCACCAUUUUACAUUUCCACAGUGAACAGGAGUUCCAAUUUCUCCACAUCCUUGUCAAUAUUUCCUUUUUCUGUUUGGUUGCUUCUUUCUUUUUGACAGUGAGCAUCCCAGUGAGUGUGAAGUGAUAUCUUGAAGUUUUGGUUUGCAUUUCUCUAAUGAUUUAGUGAUGCUGAACAUCUUUUCAUGGGCUUGUUGGCCAUUUAUAUAUCUUCUUUGGAGAAAUGACUAUUCAACUCCUUUACCCAUUUUUUAAUCUGGUUAUUUGUGUUUUUGUUGUUGAGUUGUAGGAGUUAUUUAUAUAUUCUGGAUAUUAACCCUUUAUUGGAUAUAUGAUUUACAAAUAUUUUCUCCCAUUCUGCAGGUUGCCUUUUCACUCUAUUGUUUCCUUUCCUGUUUGUUCUUUUAACAGUCUUUAUUGACCACCUGCAGUAUGCCCAGACCCCUCUUAUAUAGGAUUCAAAGCAGAAGCAGCAGAAAUCUUGGACCAAUCUUUUCUGCUUAUUUCUGACAGAGCAGAGGCUCCAGAAUCAGCCUGGAGUGGAUUAAAUCCAGUGUCAUAUUAUUCAUUUAGUAGCUGUGAUUUUGGACAGAUCACUCCCUGAGCUUCUGGCCUUCUUUGUAGAAUCAGGAUAAUAAUACUUCAUGGGGAUGUUAUAAGGAAUAAAAGAGGAAAAGGAGUAAAAUGUAUGUAAUGGCACUGGUGAUACAGAAUGAUUGGGCUCCCAGCUAAACCCCACUCUAAAGCAUGGAACUGUGGCCCUAAGUGACAAUAGCUGACCCCAUUUUUUGCCCAAAUGUUGCCUUUUUAGCCUGCCAUUCCCCUAUCCUGUGCCCAUAAAAAGACUUCAGCUGACAGAGCAAUAUAAAUGGCUAAGUGUUGGGGAUACAAGAAGAGACUACAGAUAGCUGUGGCCAACUUCAGAUGGUGUGGCCUCAGGGAAAGAUCACCUUCUUCCCCCACCAUCCCCUUUCUUAUUCCCUGUUCCACUGAGAGCCACAUCCAUUGCCCAAUAAAAUGCUCCACAUAUACUACCCUUCAA